GACGAAGGGGGCUAGCGUUGUCCGGAUUUAUUGGGCGUAAAGAGCGUGUAGGCGGCUAGGUAGGUCCGUUGUGAAAACUCGAGGCUCAACCUCGAGACGCCGAUGGAAACCAUCUGGCUAGAGUCCGGAAGAGGAGAGUGGAAUUCCUGGUGUAGCGGUGAAAUGCGCAGAUAUCAGGAAGAACACCCGUGGCUAAGGCGGCUCUCUAGUACGGUACUGACGCUGAGACGCGAAAGCGUGGGGAGCGAACAGG
rnacentral:rRNA from 1 species